UCCUCCACCUGCUGCGGGCAGAUGAAGUGGAUGUGGCAGUCGAUGCCGCCGGCGGUCAGGAUCUUCCCCUCGCCGGCGAUGAUCUCGGUGCCCGGGCCGAUGACGAUGUCGACGCCGGGCUGGAUGUCCGGGUUGCCGGCCUUGCCGAUCCGGGCGAUUCGGCCGUCGCGGAUCGCCACAUCGGCCUUCACGAUGCCCCAGUGGUCGAGGAUCACGGCGUUGGUGAUGACGGUGUCGGCGGUGCCUUCGGCGCGUGUGGCCUGGCCCUGCCCCAUGCCGUCGCGGA
rnacentral:sRNA from 1 species